UUUACAACCACUUGUAGUUUC
ensembl:piRNA 21ur-12799 ncRNA